rnacentral:rRNA from 1 species
AUGGGCUGUGCAUCGUCAAAGCAGUUCAAACGAGCUCCUCGGCAUGAGGAUGCUGCUCUUCUGGCCAAAGAGACCACAUUUUCUUUGGAUGAAGUGAAGGCCCUCUACGAGUUGUUUGAAAAGAUUAGCUAUUCUAUAUUCAAGGAUGGGCUCAUCCACAAGGAGGAGUUCCAACUUGCUCUCUUCAGGAACAGCAAUCGGAAAAACCUUUUUGCCGAUCGGAUAUUUGAUCUGUUCGAUCUGAAGCGAAAUGGUGUGAUUGAAUUUGACGAGUUUGUUCGGUCCCUCCAAAUUUUUCACCCGGAUACUCCCAUGGCAGACAAGAUUGCAUUUGCAUUCAGACUAUAUGACCUGCGAGGCACCGGCAGCAUUGAACGUGAAGAGUUGAAGGAGAUGGUGCUUGCAAUCCUGAGUGAAUCAGACCUACUUCUUUCUGACGACGCUGUCGAACAGAUGGUUGAUCAGACAUUCACAGAGGCAGACCUGAACGGCGACGGGAGGAUAGAUCCCGACGAAUGGAAAGCAUUGACAAGCACGAAUCCAGCCUUGCUGAAGUACAUGACUCUCCCAUACCUGAAGGACAUGACCAUGUCAUCGUUCCCCAGCUUUAUUCUCUACCCUGGAACUGGCGAUGAAGAGUUGUACUAG